AUGGCAAAUUCCUCUGUUUUGGAAGUAAAUCAUCAUGAAUGGGAAAGGAGAGAUAACGAUCUUGUGAUUGUUGUUAGGAACAGAGGAAUAAUUAGCGUGAUUUUCCUUUGGAAACGGCCUUUUCAUGACCAUUUAUUAGCGGGUUAUUAUGACAAUUGCUUCCCGUUUCUUAUUCUGGAGGGGAAUAGAGGGAUCUAUAUCAAGUUGGGGAGGUGGUGUUCCUUUUCGUCAGUUCUGUCUGUAGCAGAGAAGCCUACUCCAAAAAGUUUGCGAUUGCUCUCGGGUGGGUCUUCCAUGGCGAGCUGGAAGGGGGUGGAGAGGUGCGGGGUGGAGGGUGCAGAGGGGAGAGAGGUUGUGGGGGGAGGGGUGGCUCAGUCCGCAGGGUUGCAGUCGCCGGUGACAACAAAACGCCGGGUGGCUCCUGCUCCAGCCAUUACCCCUGAAAGCAGGGGGAAGUCGACGCCGAGGCGUGCCAGGAGCGAUGGCUCGUCUCUGGUCAUCGAUAUGAAGGCCGCGAGGAGGCGAUCAGUGGCUUCCUGGUGGUGGGGAGGCUUCUAUCGCCCUUCCAAGUGA
rnacentral:rRNA from 1 species